CUUAACGGCGUGUACUGUCUGGCUGGGCCUUACCUCUUGGUGAGCCGGCGUGCCCUUUAUUGGUGUGCGCCGGGGAACCAGGACUUUUACCUUGAGAAAAUUAGAGUGUUCAAAGCAGGCCUAUGCCCGAAUACAUUAGCAUGGAAUAAUAAAAUAGGACGUGCGGUUCUAUUUUGUUGG
rnacentral:rRNA from 1 species